rnacentral:rRNA from 1 species
AUUGAACGCUGGCGGCAGGCCUAACACAUGCAAGUCGAGCGAGCGGCGGACGGGUGCGUAAUGUAUGGGGACUGCCCGAUAGCGGGGGAAAACUACUGGACACGGUGGCUAAUACCGCAUACUAUCGGAUAACCCAUAUGGGAUUAGCUAGUAGGUGGGGUAAAGGCUCCCCUAGGCUACGAGCUCUAGCUGGUCUGAGAGGCUGAUCACCCAACCUGAGACUGAGAAACGGCCCAGACUCAUACGGAGGCAGCAGUGGGGAAUAUUGCACAAUGGGCGCAAGCCUGAUGCAGCCAUGCCGCGUGUAUGAAGAAGGCCUUAGGGUUGUAAAGUACUUUCAGCGGGGAGGCGUUACCCGCAGAAGAAGCACCGGCUAACUCCGUGCCAGCCGCCGCGGUAAUUC